CCUACGGGAGGCAGCAGUGGGGAAUAUUGCACAAUGGGGGGAACCCUGAUGCAGCGACGCCGCGUGGGUGAAGGAGUACUUCGGUACGUAAAGCCCUAUCAGCAGGAAAGAAAAUGACGGUACCUGACUAAGGAGCCCCGGCUCACUACGUGCCAGCCGCCUCGGUACUACGGAGGGGGCAAGCGUUAACCGGAUUUACGGGGUGUAAAGGGGGCGUAGACGGCAGUGCAAGUCCGGAGGGAAAGCCCGGGGCUCAACCCUGGGACUGCUCUGGAAACUGUACAGCUGGAGUGCGGGAGUGGCAGGCGGAAUGCGUGGUGUAGCGGUGAAAGGCGUAGAUAUCAGGAGGAACACCGGCGGCGAAGGCGGCCUGCUGGACCGUAACUGACGUUGAGGCUCGAAAGCGUGGGGAGCAAACAGGAUUAGAUACCCGGGUAGUC
rnacentral:rRNA from 1 species